rnacentral:rRNA from 1 species
AUACGGAGGGUGCGAGCGUUAAUCGGAAUUACUGGGCGUAAAGCGUACGUAGGCGGAUGGUUAAGUUAGAUGUGAAAGCCCCGGGCUUAACCUGGGAACUGCAUUUAAAACUGGCGAACUAGAGUUGAGUAGAGGGGAGUGGAAUUUCAGGUGUAGCGGUGAAAUGCGUAGAGAUCUGAAGGAACACCAGUGGCGAAGGCGACUCCCUGGACUCGAACUGACGCUGAGGUACGAAAGCGUGGGUAGCAAACGGGAUUAGAAACCCUAGUAGUCC